rnacentral:rRNA from 1 species
GACGAACGCUGGCGGCGUGCCUAACACAUGCAAGUCGAGCGGAGCCAAUUAAACGAUCCCUUCGGGGUGAGUUUGAGGAAGCUUAGCGGCGGACGGGUGAGUAACGCGUGAGUAACCUGCCUAUAAGAGGGGGAUAACACAGAGAAAUUUGUGCUAAUACCGCAUAUUGAGUAUUAAUCGCAUGAUUGAUAUUUGAAAGAUUUAUCGCUUAUAGAUGGACUCGCGUCUGAUUAGCUAGUUGGUAAGGUAAUGGCUUACCAAGGCGACGAUCAGUAGCCGAACUGAGAGGUUGAUCGGCCACAUUGGGACUGAGACACGGCCCAGACUCCUACGGGAGGCAGCAGUGGGGGAUAUUGGGCAAUGGACGCAAGUCUGACCCAGCAACGCCGCGUGAAGGAAGAAGGCUUUCGGGUUGUAAACUUCUUUUACCAGGGACGAAGAACGUGACGGUACCUGGAGAAAAAGCAACGGCUAACUACGUG